rnacentral:rRNA from 2 species
UUGACCUCGGAUCAGGUAGGGAUACCCGCUGAACUUAAGCAUAUCAAUAAU